ACUCCUACGGGAGGCAGCAGUGGGAAUAUUGCACAAUGGGCGAAAGCCUGAUGCAGCAAUGCCGCGUGUGUGAAGAAGGCCUGCGGGUUGUAAAGCACUUUUAUCGGGAAAGAAAAACCGGCAGACUAACCCUUGGUCUUGACGGUACCCGUUGAAUAAGCACCGGCUAACUCCGUGCCAGCAGCCGCGGUAAUACGGAGGGUGCAAGCGUUAAUCGGAAUUACUGGGCGUAAAGCGAGUGUAGGCGGCGACGUAAGUCGGAUGUGAAAGCCCCGGGCUCAACCUGGGAAUGGCAUUCGAUACUGCGUGGCUCGAGUCUGAUAGAGGGAUGUGGAAUUCCGGGUGUAGCGGUGAAAUGCGUAGAUAUCCGGAGGAACACCAGUGGCGAAGGCGGCAUCCUGGAUCAAGACUGACGCUGAGGCUCGAAAGCGUGGGGAGCAAACAGGAUUACAUACCCUGGUAGGCUCUGCU
rnacentral:rRNA from 1 species